CUUGUGGGAGAGAUUAGGUCUGCUUCUAAUAACGUGAAUAAUAUUAAAGAGGGACAUUGUCUACUGUAUGAGUAGAAAGGGUUUGGUUUUUUUCCUGAAGAGCCUUUGAAAGGGCAAAAAAAGGACCCAGACUAGAGAAGUUAUACCAUCCCAUGCUUUCUCAUAAUUUUCCAUUAGAAAAAUUAAAAUUUGGGCUUCCAUUUAUACAUUUAAUUCUUGUUGUGGAUACACUCUUGGCCUUGAAGAGCGUGUUGGAGAAGAAGGCAGGACUGUUCAAAAGGAAGAAAAUUGGAGACCUGUGCCGUCUGAUAUAAGACUCAAGAACCAAAAAAACCCCACCACCCUACCAAAACCGGACCAGUAGUGACCCGUGUCAGUGGGAAAUGGAACAAAACAAUAGAAGCACAGAAGGACGGAGUGGUAUAAGAUCACAUCAGAAGUCUCCGGUAAAGCAAGGCCUUUAUAUCAUCUCUUCCAAGUCCUAAAGCAGACCCUCAGCAUAAUGGUCCUUCUUCUCUGUAUGUCCUUGUAGUUGCGCUAGAAAAUACUGUAGAGCUGCGAUUUCCUUUUUCUCCUGGGCUGUUCUUUUACAGCAUAUGUGUAUCUUGGGCUCUGCAAGUUGAAUAGGAAUAUGCAUCAGGAUGUGGAUGAAAAGAGAAACUGUGGUCCGGCUUCUGCCCUGGGAACUAAAGCAGGCGUGCUUGAAGGUGUAGGACAUAAUUUUCUUGUAGAAGGAAUGAAAGCACCUGGGACCAUGAAGAUUUUACAAAAAUGGCUCGGUUUCACACUUCCUGAAGUAUGCACUACUGUCUGAAGCAGCACCCACCUGAGGAAAACUUCAACAUCCAGCUUCAGCAGAGGAAAAGCACAUGAAGCCCAGACGUGUGAAACUGGAAUCACCACUGAGAGGGACCUAUGGUUCGUUGGCAUUGGGGUAGGUUUUCUGUACUGCAAAACAGCACUCUGGUAAUUUCUAAGGUCCAAAAACACAUACGCUGGCUUACAUUAAAAAAAAAAAAAAGAAAAAAAAAAAAAAAAAGAAGGCUCCAAAAUCAAUUUAAAGAUUUCUUUUAGACCUUGGCUGGACUUCAGAAAGUGAAUUUUCCCAUUGCUCUCAUCAUCUGCUAUUAAGGUUUGAAGUCAGGAAGCAUCUUGAGCUCAAUUCACUAGAAUGAAGGGCUGAAAUAAAAAUGUUUUGAUUUCCUAACCAAGAACCACAAUUUUUAAGAGGUGUUCUGGAAAAAAAAAUUGCUUGUUGGAUGAUAGCAUGAAAUAUAGAUGGGAUAUUUCAAACCAUAAUUUAGCACAAAUUGUUACCUGAUAUUAGACCUACUUUGCUAUUAUUUGGAGUUUGGCUGAUUCUGUGCUCAGAAUCCCACAUAGUCCUGAAACCUUCAGCUGUGGUAUUAAUAGUGAAAUCCCCAUUUGGCCGGGCAAUUCUCUGAGUUGCUAUGGAUACAAACCUGAAGAAAUUAUCAGAAUGCAAACUGGGGCAGAACUGUGUUUUAAUCCACACACGGCCUCAUCUUAAUGAUGUCCCAUUUCACAGGAACAUUAAUUUUUGAAAGUUAAAUGCACUAAAUGCCCACACUUUUACUUUUAGGCUAUUAUACCCAGCCUAAAAGUAAACCAUGGACUUGUACAUCAUAGAUCCUUUAUAAUCUUAUUGACAUUGUCUGUAAUUUAUGAUUGUUACAGCUACAGGUUAUUUAAUACCAAUAUCUAAAAACUCUUCGCAUUAUCACCCUAACCUGUCUCCCUCCCUUGAGAAGGAUAUUAGCAUGGUUGGCAAUAUCACUAAUUUUAAUUAAAGUGAGUAAAACUCCCCUGCCCUGAUUUUUGCUAUUUAAAGGAAGUUACAGAGAGCCCUCCAGUUCUUAACAUAGAAUUCAGGAUCAGAUAAAGGUACACAGGACCUUACUUAUUGGAGAAUCAGAGUAAGAGGUGUAUAAAUCCAUCUUGGUUUUCUUUCUGCCCCUUGUUCCAGCUAUACCUGGUAGAUUUAUUGCUCCACUCUGCUCCGGUAGUCUGACUCCCCGUGGCGAUUUCCCAAAGUCUGCCGGCAGGAAUACACCCUCACUGCUGCAAAAGAUUAUGACAUCAUGGAUGUUAAAAAGAGAAUGAAUGAUGUGGUUAGCCGUGCGUUCAAUAUAUUACGAGAGAGGGGGUUAUAUGGAAACAUGGCCUUUCUGUCAGGUAGAAUGAAUGAGAUAUAUAAUUUGUUUUGUCCUUCUCUUAAAAGAACAAGGGAAAGGAGAUAAUCUGUCUUAAUAAGGGCAUGCUUAGAGUAUCAACCAACUAGAAAGUAAUAUAUUUUUAAACAUCCAUAUGUGAUCCCCUUAUUAAAUUAGGAUGUUGAGCUAAAUUUAAAGUAUCAAUAUAUAAAUCAGUCAGUCAGUUAAGUUAGCCGGUUUUAUACUGAUAAAUGGGAGUUAAUAAAGCAAUUACUUCUUUCUGAACCAUAAGGCUCUGGUUUCCAAAUCAGUUGUAUGAGUUAUGGAUUACUGACAUAAUUUACAAGUUUUCAUUUACGUGACUUAUACCCUUGAUUUCUGGGGAAUUAGCCCUUUAUUGUAUUAAAGGCGCGACAAAACAGCAUUUGCGUAACAUUAAGGUUGGGGCAAAGCAACAAAACUCUCUGACUUCUCAAUUUAUGGUGACACAGCAGUCCUUACUCUCACUGCUGUAGUGCAUAACAGACAGAGAGUGAAGGACAGAAUUGUUGCCUUAAUAUUGAAGGUCGUGACUUUUCAAUGUGUGUGUCGUGACCUAUGUUCUAUACCUGUAGAGUUUUGCCUUUUUUUUUCCCCCUCUCAUUUUUGUAAGCACACACCAGUAGCAGGCAGUUCUGCACCUACAUUGGCCGUGUGCUAUGAAAGAGGUGGCAUUAAAGCUUGUCAAUGUAUUGCCACAUAACCUUCACUUUUUCUAUUUUUAUGAGGCUCAACCUUGCACAGGUUGACGUCAUUGAGGGCUUGGAAAUAAUUACAAAGUGGGUAAGGUCAAGCUUACGUAGGGUGUGCCGUAGAGAAAUUUUCAUUUUAAAUUUUCACACGUUUUUCUCCUUUUAAUGCCCACUGCCUGGUAUUUAUCUUAUUAUUCUACUCAGGCAGAAAUAGCCCAUCUCUUGGGCCACACAGGUCUUGAAGAGCUGCACAGACAGACUAGCUGAAGUCAGGUUGAGUUUUCCUAGAAGCCAAUUAAUUAUUUACAAAGCAGCUCUAAAAUUCAAGAAAGAGGUAGUGGUUUGCAGAUUGAACUUUUUACUACCCUCUGCUGCAUUACUGGUUAGGAGCCCAGUAACAUCAAUGAUAAUAGCCACUAUGAAAGAGGCCAAUACGAGCAUUUCAGGAAGACUUCAGGAUGCAUCUGGGUGGUGUCUGGGUGGUUCAGUUCAUUCAGUCUUUCAAAAAACCAAAAGGCAAAAAAAAAACCAAACCCCAAAUCAAUAAAAUAAUAUUCUAGUUGAAAAUGUCACGUUCCUUAUAAAAAACAUCUUUGGUUGGGAAGCGACAAGCUGAGAAAUCAAACCUGGCUACACAGGGCUUGAGAUAUUCCAGAUUCCAGGAAGGAAAGAAUAAGAAUGGAGACAAAAAAGCUGGGCAGAAAUAAGGCAACCAACAGCCCAUAGAAGCAAAAUUCUCAGGGAAAAUAAUAAUAAAAAAAAAACCCAGCAAGAUUUAUGUAGCCAAGAGUAGGAUUACCCUGAGAUCUGGCCCAAACAUCAGACCCUGUUUUACAGACUAGCAGAAUUAACAGGGGUCUGGCGAAAGAGCAAUUCCAGGCUCCUUACUUGUUCUGUGAUGUUUUACCUCACCGGCCAUCCAGAAACUGAAUUCAGCCCUAAGCAUGGGAUGAAUCCUUUGAGAGAUUGGUUUCCAUCUCCCUGGCAUAUCCCCAUCCAAAUAUCAGCAGCAAAUAGACAGGCAAGGCUCCUAGAAUCUGCCUUUCCUAUAUUCCUGUCACUAUAAAGAAAUUAUUUUCAUUACCUAUGACAUGAAUUUCAUUUUCUCCCCACUGAAGGGCAUUUAAAUACUCUGAAAUAUUUACCCCAAACUACUGUACACUGGUAUAUGCACAGUACAUUACAUCUUUUAAAGCUCAGAGAGUCCAAGCUUCAAAUAUUAAUGAGCCAAACAAUAAGUCCUGACAGAGGCAGUCAGGUGGUGAUCUCCCUGGUAUGUGCCUGAGACCAAGUAUGGUUUUCAGAUGUCAAACUGUAUAAAAAUGCUUCUGAGGAAAUAUCAUAAUGGGUUUUUCUGUAAUUUUACCAAUGUUUACUCUCCAGCCUUGUGUAAUUGGAUAAUAUCUGUUAUGUCAAACAGUUUCGACCAGAGCGAUUUGUCCUGCACUACUGGCAUUAAUAUUAUCAUCAAAUAAUUAAUAAUCCUGCUAGUUAUGUUGGUGCUACGUAUCAUUUGAACCCAGGCUUGGCUACCAGAAAAGUAAGUCGAUUUAAAUGAAACCUAAACUGACCAAACACUAUUGAAUGGGAUAUAUUCCUAAUAAAAUAUUAAAGCCUCUUAAACUUUAUUGCAAAGGCCAGUGUUUGAUAGACCUAAUAGAAACUGGUCAAACUUGCUAAAUUAUUCCAGUGUUGACACAGGAGCAGCCAAACUGCUCCCCUUUACACACCUUUCUGUCUGGCCCCAAAGAAAAUGAUAUUUAUUAAUCAUUUAAAUGAAAUGGAAUUUUAGCAGAACUUCAUUUUUUCCCUUCAGCCACCUAUAAUUUUGUGGGAUUUUAGAUAAUAUCAUUUCCUUGAAUAUACCUUCCAGGAUGCUAAAGAAAGAGUGAUUUGUUUACAGUAUCCAGAGCGAUGCCAGGUCUGGAGGCAAGAUAUCCCCAACUUUUGAUCUGCAGGCUCUGGCUUCCAGAACAUCGAGAUCCAGGAUAAAAAAAAAAUCCAGGAUCUGGUGCACAGAGCCUGUUCAUCCCAUCACCACAACUGUAAAACAGAACCAGAAGAAGAAGAAAGGCUGAGAAGGGACGAUUUGAGGUGUGGUAUAACUACUGUAUGGACAGUGACCAAAAGGACAACCAUCUGUACAGAGGAGGUAUUGCAAAAUCAGGAAUUACAUGGAAGAGGUAAAUAUAAGAUGUCUAUUUACUUUUUCUUCACACAGGAACUCAACCCAUGAAAGCAGUGACUACAGAAGGUCUUUUUAACAUAACCAAACAUCAUUUUUAACAUAACUAAGUGAAGAUCACAGAGUACCAUGGUAGGGAUGUGGUGGCCCCAUAAUGCUACAGAAGGCAAAAAUAGACGAGUAUCUGGAUUCAAACAAUACUUAACCCAUUCUGGGAAGAUAGAUCCAUCAGCGACUCUUAAACUUGUAGGAAAAUGUUCUGUGACUGCUUGAAGUUGAGAGGUUGUCUCAGAUUGUUCUGUGUUUGUUUUUUAUACCCCUACAUGAACACUAUUGUGGGGGGAUACAGGGCUAUACAGACCUUUGUGAUGACUUUGAAUGGCUGUUACUCUGUCAGGGUCCAUGACUCUCUUGACAUGCUUAAUUGUCAGGGAUUUAAAGAAAAGACAAAUUCUCAUCAGUUAUACCUGAUUUUUACUCCAUCCAGCCCUCCAGACUAGGUCUUCCUCUUAGUCUGCUGGGGCUUCCUUUUUUUCCCCCAUUUCCUCCUUGUCAAGCCCCUUCUUUUUAGCAUUUUUCUUGGGAGGACACUGCAGAAGAAAAGGACCUAAUUCCUGUGUGUUAAAUAUCAAUAUUCAUGACCUUUGAGCACCAGGUUUGGACUAGAUGAUUGAGUCUUACUCUUUUCAAACCCUGAAAGUUUUGUUUGAACACAGUCUGAGCUCUCUUUUUACAAGAAUGAAGGAGUAUCUUACCAAAUCAAAAGCCAGCAAAGGAAAGAGAUACACGUAAUGCUCUGUUUAACCAUUUCCCACUGUGUUAUCUGAAGCCACCAGCAUAAUAAUUCACACAUUUAUACUAGUAAAAGGAGCACCAGUAGAGAACUAACGUAAAAAUGCAUAGCCUCAUAUAAUAUUUCCUUCCAUGACAGGAGAGUGGUAUUUAUACAGUUACAGUAGAUCAUUGGAUGAAAGUACAACUUGUGAGAAUACUGAAAAUGUGGUUGUUUUUAGAGCUGUAAAUUGGCAUUGCUCAGACUUGAUCCUGAAGUACAAGCUACAUCAGUACAAAACUGUAUGAGGCUGAAAAAAGCCCUCAGAAGAGGAAAAAUGCACCCACCCACUCUAUAAUUAUGGUCUUGACCUCUAAUGUAAAGGCUGAGUUAAUUGUGGGUCUGCAGGUCAGUCAGAGGCCUCAGCUACUUUUAUUAUGUAUAUAUUUAUAUAUAUGUAUCCAUAUAGAGAGAAUUCAGUUGCUACAUUCUUUUCCUUGACCAGAUAAGAACUACAUUUUCAUACCUGAUUGUUCUGAGUUAUUUAAUUGUUUUUAUUUACCUCUUUUAUUCUAUUUAGCAGAAGACAAUGGUUCUAAAUGACCCUGUGACCAUGACAGUUAAUGUAAGCAAAAAAUAAAAUGCUUUUGACUUUGAAAAAAAAAAAAAAAAAGAAAGUUGGCUCAAAUUCAGGCUGCGUGUAUUUAACGUUCUCCAAAAUGUUGCAGAUGGGUUGAAUGGAAGGCUGAUUUUGAUAAAUGAUUCCAACUCUGGAGCCACAAUGCAAUACUUGUAAAUUCUUUUGAGAUGAUUAGGCCAGUGGUUUAGCAUCUAUCAUUUGAGAUAGACUGGCAUGAUAAUGGAUACGGAUAACUCAUCGCACAUCCCUGCUAUUACUCUUCCUCUGGUAUGGCUGGUAUCGUUGACAGUCAGCUGAAUCUGGUGCUAUAAUUUUGUAUUAAAAGAAGGAAAAAUUGAUUUUCAGAGGAGCCUUAAUCUAAGGGAAUAAGUACUUAAUUCCCUUGUACACGUGAAAGGACCAAAUCCGAGCUGGGUUGUUUGGUAUUUUUGCAGUUUGUAUUUAUGUCUCUGAGGCCACAUUCUUAGAUCUCGUGCACAAAACAGGAAAAACUGCAGAAAACCUUCCUUGGCUACAAAAUUGUCAUGGAAAAUAACCUUAUACGUUCAUCCUCUGUUUGGAUUCCCACGAGACAUUGUGUAGACCGUUUGAGAUAAUGGUUUCAUUUACGUCCCUCUCCCUGACCUGUCUCCUUGGCUCUCAGCGCGGUUGUCCUCUGGGGAGGUGGUAGGUGGUGCAGGCAGGUUUCCAUCCCUCUGGAGCCAGCGCUUCCCAACACAUGGCUCUGCGGCCUCACAGGUGCCGGGAAGGUGCAGGAGCCAGGGGGAUUUUCCAUCUACAAUCCCAUAGUGGACCUUCAAGUCCCCUUCUCAUCACCGUUGCUGAAUCUCCACUCUCCGGGGGGGGGAAGAUUUAUAUUCUCUUGACAUGGAAGAGUUAAACGAGGGGGAAAAAAAGACUUUUACACAGCCCUGUAAAAGUCAUGUUUUGCUGGCAAACGGCAGCAAACUUGCUAGGCUUUCUUCAUUAGAGUCUUGCCAUUUAAGCCAUCAGCGUCAUUUUGCGAGGACAUCAAACAUGUGUACGCCAGAUGCCGGCAACGCGGAGCGGCACUAAGGACCUGACUCAACUUAACAAUAAUCUGCGGACAGCGGGUGUGAACCUGAGCUGGGCCAACACCUCAUCAGACUGCAUGGCUAAUUGAUUUCAAAAUUAGAGUUGGUAUUUCUGAACAAUAAUCUUAAAAGGCAGCAAUAAAAUACAUCAGAAUCCUUUGAGCUAGCCAAGCUUUCAUCCAAAUGGCUUAUUACAAAGAGCUGGCACACCUGAACUUUGGCAUAGACAAAUAAAUCCCAAAACAGUAAAUGGAAACCACAUUUGGCACUGAAGGUUUGUCAAGAGAAGUUUGUAGUCAUCAGGAAACAAGAUUUUGGAUUUUUUUUUCCUUAGUGGCAGGAAAUCAUUCACUGGAUGUAUUUUACUCCAACUGCUGUGAUUUAUGCAAUGAAAACACAGGUAGUGUUGAGGAGAAUGCUCUCUUUUUUUUUUUUUUCCUUCUUUUUUUUUACCAUUUCACAAUCUUCAGGAUCCCAGAAGCGCUAAAAGCACAGCAAGGGUUACAGUUAUCCCAACAGUGAUAACUUAAUUGCAUCUGUCGGCCUCCCUCUUUGAACUUUGAACUGCUGGUUUGUGGCAUCAUGGUCCAAAAGGAUUUAGAUCUGACUUUUGUGUGGCUACAAUAAAUUAUACCCAAGUAUCUGAGCAAUGCCUGGAAUCUUAUCUUGAAGGCAGGAUGAGGCAUCUCACUUAAGGGAUGGUAUAAAUUUGGAAUACAAAUCUUUCCAGGAACUAGCAUUUCAGACCAGGUAGGAAAGAUUGGUUUUUCCUUUGCAAUAGGUUGAAUUAUAAGAAACUCCAGAAUAUGUAAAAAACCCAUUAAUUUCCUGAAAUAUUUCCUGAAAAAGUGGCUCCUGAGAACAGCUUAAAGAUAGGACUGAAGAAAUCUGUGAAGUCAGAGGCUGAGCUGUGAAGUACCUGAAUCCAUUUGGACUCCUUGGCUCUUCCCGUUGUUUGUAAAUAGUUUUAUACAUUUUAAUGUGAUGAAUAAAGACGUAAUAGUCUGAAGGCAAUUGCAGCUUUCAUCAUUAGUUGGUCUAAGUGAAAUGUAACCCACUGCUUGAUUACUAGCUUUGUGUUUAAAAUUGGUGGUUAAAUUUUACAAUUCUGACAGUCUCAGCCUGAAUUUGUGAUAACUGAGGUAGUUGUGUUCACGUUUUUGAAUAAUUCUGAGCUGUACCGUUUCUUUUCAUGUUAGUACAGUGACAAACUUAACUCAAAAUGUGAGUCUUGAUGGUUCGUGUUACACCUUCACAGGACCUACGGGCAGUCCUAAGACAACUCCAGAAUUUUGCAUUAUUUUGCCAACGGACAUAAGCAGCCUUUUACUUGCGCACCUGACAGAUGUGUGUGUCUGUUUGACUCUCCCAGCCUUCACUUCUUGCUGAUGUGAGUCGAACGGACACCAAGGAAAGAGAAAGCUGCAUCUCUCUCCAUCAUCGACCGCCUGCGCGUGCCACAGAGUGCCUGGCCUCUCAAAACCACGUCACCAACCCGCUGGUCUGAAGAAAAGCAUCCACCUUACAGAAAGACAGUGUGUUAAGGAGAGUGCUGAUGACUUUUACUUGGAUCAGAAGGGACAAUUUGUCAUGUAGGCACUGAAAAAUUAAUUUUUUUUUUCUACCAAAAACUCCCAGCUACUGUAAAAUGUCUGAUACAGCUCAGCUGACUUCAAGGAAGCUGUGCUAAUUUGUGCCAGCUGAGGAUGCUGGUGGCAGCGAUGAAACAGGACCAAGAAAGAUAGUUUGAAAGUGGAAUAACAUAAAAAGAGACAAUAAUGAGGACGCCAAAUUAUCUGAUGUGUGGUAAGAGGACAAUAACAUCAAGAUUAAACAACAUGCUGAUUGAUAUGCCUAAUUCUAAGCAUAUUAUUUUCAGAAUUUAUUUAACUUUUCUAGGUAACACUUCAUCUCUCUUGCUGUGGAAAUCAAUCUCUGCCAUUUUUCUCCUUCUGUAGCCUCAUUUUUCCUUCUUUGUCCAGCAUUAUCAAACCAUGCCACAAACUCAAUUAGGCUGUUGUGAUGCCAAAACCUGCGGUCCUGGCAAAAUGUAUCAUGCAGCAUAUCUAGAGUUUCUGAGCUCCCUGAGGUUCUGUUGUUACAGUCACCGAAGAGAAUCACAAGCAAAGACAGUGCCUAUUGAAUGCACCUUCUAAUGAUUUGCUGGGGGUUUUUUUAAUGCUGCCUGCACCAAAAUUGCAAAGAAUCAUCGCAGAAUUAAUGCAGUGUGUCUGGGCUACUUCUAGAGAGAGGUGUUCACAUGCCAUAGCCUGGCCAUUACCAAAUGAUAUUUUUAAUAAAUUGCUGUAAAGUUGUUGGUAAGCAGAAAUUAAUCAAGAAAAUAUUGUCCUCACAUUUCCUAGUGAAAUGUGAGCAACACACACGUAAACUUUGUGUCCUGUUGCAUGUGUCAAGGACUGUGAAUCAUGAGCUCCAGUAUUUCCACUCCAGCUUUUAUAUUCAGUCUUUAUUUGGCUUUCGACACAGAAUUGAAGCACUCCAUGCUUUGUUUUUUGUGUAUUUAAAAAAAGGGAGAGCUGGCAACAGCAUCAUUACCCACCUCCCCUUUUAAGGAGAUGGUCAGUUAAUGCUGCUACACCACUUUGAAGAUAGGCUUUCCAAAACUUAAAUAUGGUUAGGCAUUUAUACAGAUAAUAAAACAUCCAUAGCUACCUAGGAUAAGAUAUGGGGGAUUUAAAAUGCUCAGGCUUCCUGGCAUAACUAACUGCUUGAGAUUAGGAGGGAAACCUUCCCUCCAGGCAGGUUAUUACUCAGGGUAUUACUUUUUGGUGGUUAUGGGUGGCUUACAUGGUGCUUUGAAGCAUCACACGCUGUUGCCUGGAGCAGGGCACCGGGUUAAAUGAACUCCUCACCUUCAUGAGAAUGGCAGGUCUUCUCCUUCCGUGUUCCCAGGUCCUCCCUGGCUGGUGGAAUCGGACUCUUUCCCUUCUAUGCAUCUCAGCUGAUGCACGUUCCUGGCUGUGCCUAUACCAUAUGUCCAAGGGAUGUCCCACCUUGUCAAGACCUU